UUUGCAUUUCACGUACCGUGGAGCGGAUCAUCGGAUUUGCGGAAUUCAGUGUAAAGCUAAUAAUUUUUUCGAAUGUGUCAUGUCAACGCACCUUUGAGACUGCUGAGUGUGGUCCAGCUGCUUGUGGGUUUGCUAUGCAUAGCACCAUGCGCCGCCAUAAUAGACGCGGAGAGCUGCUGGAAUGACAGUCAGCAAUGCCUUAUACAUGCCACACUACAUCGAGCGGAUGAGCCGCCGCGUUCCACUGGGCUGACAGUGGAAAUCGACUGUCAAACAAAAGUUGAGCUGCCACCGGCUAGCCAGCAUAGUAAUGCUCCUUCAACGCUAUUGCGACGCCUCGAAUAUGCGGAAAGUUUACUGCUCGAUGGCUGUCACACGCCGUUGGGCGUUGAAACGUAUGGCAUGGAAUAUCUGCCUAACUGUGACACCGUACCCCAAGUGUUUAUGGAGCGUUUUCACGCGGACACAUUGCAGCCAUUCCAGUGUCCAGGCGCCAACAACAGCGAUAUGCAGGUAGAAAUUCUGCGCUAUAGCAACAAUGAAUUGGCCACCAUAGGCACGCAGACGUUCGCGAAUCUACCGCAAUUACGUGAAUUGCACUUUACGGGCAACGCGCUGCGUCACAUUGCGCCUUCGGCCUUUGAUACGCUGCGCGUCGUGGAACGCAUACACAUCGCGCACGAACCGCUGUUGGCGCUCAAGGACGGUGAUUUGUUCGAGCGCACCGGCGUUGCUGAAUUGCAGUUGGUGCAGUUGAAGCACAUCACCGCCGACCUAUUCGCCCAUCUGCCUGAGACGUUGCGGCAAAUAUACGUCGCACGCACAACCUUCGACGAUGACGCCGUGGUGGUGAGUAACCCACAGCUGCUGCGCAAUAUAUCAAUCAACGGCUGCACCUUGAAAUCGUUCGCGUUGCUCGAGUCCGCACAAACUACAAGCGUGCGAUAUAUAAAUUUGAGUGGCAAUGCGUUGGUUGACUUUCGUGUGGAUUUUCUCAGCGGCAACAGCAAUACAACCAUUGCGGCGGUGGAAACGCUUGAUUUGAGCGAGAAUGAAUUGGCGCAACUGCCGCUGUCAUGGCUGAGUGGACUCAGAAAACUGCGCCAUUUACUAUUGCGUGGCAAUCAGCUGAAGAUGCUCUCUCUGGCGGAUUUGAUGGCUACUCUGCCGAUAUUGACGUCAUUGGAUUUGCGCGCCAAUCAAUUUCAGACGUUACACGAUGCGUCAGCUGCAUCUGCGUUGAGUUGGGAGCAAGUGCGCAUAAAAAUCGAUCGGAAUCCGUGGAACUGCGUGUGGCUGCUCGAAUUUUCCCACACGCACCCAGAAAAGUUUCGCGUUUUUCAGUAUGAGAAAUACAUAUCGCAAAUCAAUGUGAAUGGGUUGAAAUGCAUGCCAAAAGAAGUGGUAGUGUUGCCCGAUAAAGUUACUAAGAAUAAUGCGAAACAUGCGAGCGUUACAAACGUGACGUCGCGUGUGGGCGGCAUUCAAGCGCAGGGACAGCUUAGUGGCACGGUCAAUGCUUCUACAUUUAAGCUAAUCUAUGGCGGCCCAUGGGAAUACAAACGCAGUCAACGUGCGGAGGCUUUGAUAAUUGUAUUCAUGCUGCCGGUGGGCGUGGCAGUGCUGUUUCUGUUGCUCUACAUGUGGAUCAACUGUCAGAAGGUAUUCCAUUUGUCCUAUUAUCGCUCGUUUAAGUGGCCACAACGCAACAUUGGUGGACGUUUUACCAGCGCCGAGCGUUUCGAUGUAGUGCGUCAGCUACCACCUACACCAACCUGUGCGCUUAAUGGCAAUACCAAUAACAAUGAAGGCUAUGAAACACCGCUGAGUGGCGUCGAAUCUGUGUGCAACUGCAACAAUAUUGGCACGGCGACAUAUGCGAAUGAGAAGUGCCGCAAACUACAUCACAUCACCUACGAAGAAUUGCCAUCCGAGCGGCCGUACAAAAUCUAUGAGGAGAUAAUUGGCGAUGAUGCGUCGGACAACGAGACGUAUGCGCAACCUUUUUACGAUCAUUUAUCGUUCACGCAGCCAGCAAAAAGUGAUGUGACUGAAACCGUCUGAUGAAGUUGAUCCGUACGGAAGUGGUUAGUUACUAAAGUGAAUGCUAAUGAUAAGGCGUAUUUUUGAGAUGCAAUCAGAUACCUCACAGAAUUUUACUAAAAGCCAAAGCCGUUGAUCAACCAAUUUUCUUCCAAACGUAUUAUUAAAUGUAUGAAUUUUGUAAAAACAUUUCAAUUACGAGCUUACUUAGAUAUUUAUACAAAAUACCCACGUUCAUUAUUAUUUUUACUACAAUUUGUGAUUUUAUAAUUUGUUAUUUAUUUUUUAAAAUAUUUACUUUUUAUGCGAACAUUUGAUAUUAUUACCAAAAAAAAGUGUAAAUAUUGUAAUUAAUCUAGCGUA